rnacentral:lncRNA from 1 species
CUGUCACUCAAGACUUCCCCCUCUCCCUCCUGCUCCCACCAGAACAUUGACUACUAAAUUCUGCAAAGGGGCAUCAGGAUGAGUCAGACCCUGUGAGCGAGUGCCUGAGCCUCCCAGGUUUGGUGAGUCAAUUUCUGGGCAUAAUAAAUGGCACUCGAUCUCAGACGGGUCAGACAGUGGUCCUUGAUUCACUCUGCCUUUGUUUGGUGAUGUAUCUAUCAGGUCAGCCGUUGGGAACCCAGGAGUAAGAAUGUGAUUUUGCUCAGUGCUUGGUGUAGGAGCAUGGAAUCGGGGUAAAACCUGGUUAUUUGUGGGAAGAAGACAGUCCACCAAGCAGCCUUCAAGCGGCAGGGCAGAGCCGUAAGUGCAGAUGUUUGUCUCCUAGGUGACUGUAGGACCUGGAAAGCUGACAGUCAGUAUUAACCCUCACACGGGCAUGGGGAGACACAGUCACAUCUGAUAAUUAAGUGGCCUAAAUGAGACAAGAGUGCUACAAGUCUUCCUGCAGCCCAUGAGGAGCAGAGCUGGGGUCCAGGGUGGGGGACCCUGGGUUAGGAUGUGGCCACUGUGUCCUUUGGGUUAUCAAGGGAUGAUACAAUUUAUUUUGUACAGUUUGAAAGUCCCAGAACCCUGUCAAAUCCUGGCUGAUCCAUAACACCCAGGGCUUUGUGUUUCUCUCUGAAAUAAAACUUUUUAUCUUAAAAAUGAAAAUGAAUCAAAUACAGCAUGUUCUGACCACAGUGGCAUUCUGGGUCUUUCCCAGGUCUGUGAGGGGUGGGGGAGUCGUGGGUUCACUGGGGCAUGACAGGAAAGCAAACAACUUUUCAUUUUCCCCUCUCCUCCUGGUCCUCUGUUCUCUUGUGUUGAGGAUACACAGGAAACUGAAGCCACAACAAAAGGGCCACAUAACUGUGGAUAUUUAGGAAAGCCUGGCUGUGUAGCUAAGGAAAAAAUGUACUUGGAAUAGGGACCUUGACAUUCCAGAUGGCAGGAAAAAAAAGUCAAACACUGAGGCCUCAUGUUCUGUGGGGCCAUCUGAUGGCUUGUUUGGAAGUCCUUGCUACAGGUCUCCAGUCCAUAGUGAGAAGCCAGUUUCCUGGUGACCUGAAAGAAAAGACAGGUCACCCACAGGUGACUUCCAGUUCUUUCCCAGACUCCACUCAAUGGGUGCCAUAUUCUGUACCUCUCUGUCCUAUUGUUACUGAUGUGUUGAGGACCAGCAUCUGGAAGGGCCCUGGCAGCCUGAAUGAACCAGGAUAAGCCAUCUACCUGCAACGGGUCAACCGGAAGAUUUGUGCAAGGUGGUUCCAUUUCAAGAGGAACAAACACAUCCUACUAACUCCAUCUUCAGAGUCCUGACAUGAGGUUUAGAUUUAAACAGGGACACAGUGUGCACAGCAAGCAGGCUUGGUUCAGGUGCCAUCCUGCCCAUCACUGACCGCUGUUGUUAUUGGGGCUCCAGUGCGUCCUGCCAGGCAGUCUAACAGAGUGAAGUCUCUUCCUGGGAGACAAGUUUCCUGUCUGGCCACCAAGAGGACUCCCAGCUUUUCAUUCUCCCUGUAGGAGACGACAAACGGAAAUCCCAGUUCUUUGGAGUCCAUUGUCUUAGUAGUCCGAUGUUGAAGGGAGCACAAAUGUGCCUUUAAAAUAUCAUCAUUUCUGCCAGGAUUACACUGUUCUGCCAGCUGUCAGAUGCCCAGCAACAGGCUAAGUUAGAGCACAGAGAAUGUCUGGGUAUGGAAGUGGUAAGGAUUCAAGCAUUGUGCUGGCCUGCCCCUGGCACCUGGCAGAAUGCACUCAGGCUGUACCCUGGUCAGCCCAGGGUUCCAUGGCUGUGUAGUCUGCACGCAGGGCAAAAGGACCCCUUUAAAAGAAAGACCCUCUUUCUUUGCUCUUCUCUUCCCACUUUCUCUUUCCCACUGUCUUCCCUGGGGCAGGCAGGACUUUUCCUGUCUCCCUCUUCUCUCCUGUCUUCUCUCUGUCUCUGUGUCUCUUUACCUCUUU